GUAAGAACUGGCACCUCGUUUUCCCAGAGAGAAGAGCCAGUCCCUCACCUAUGGGAACCUGAGCUCCAGUGCCUGUGACUCAUCCCUGCUCCGCCGGUGCACUUUGCUGGAAUGAAAGUUUGCAGGUAUUUUUCUGCUUCUUUCUUCAUCUCCACAAUACUCCCAUGAAGUGUUCCCAUUUUUCCAGAGAGCCCAGGGAAGAUGAAGAAAAUGAGGAGAACAGAUAUGAAGCGAUUUACCCAGCUACCCACCUCACUCCUGCUACAAAAUAAAUGGGCUAGAACUAGGGCUCACUCUGGGGAUUCUGUAUCUAAACCCAAAAUUCUUCCCAUGGGUUCCCACGAAGACCCCCAAAGGCAAAGGCAGUUCUUUCCUUAAGCUUUAACGAUGACGAUUUUCAAACAUAUGCAAAAUUACACAAAAUAGUAUAACAAAUAGUAAAUAGUAAAACAAAAUAACAAAAAAGCCCACUUAUCGUCAACCCAUGGUCAACCUUUUU